GCUGGGCGUGGUGGCGGGCGCCUAUAAUCCCAGUUACUUGGGAGGCUGAGGCAGGAGAAUUGCUUGAACCCAGGGGGUGGAGGUUGCAGUGAGCCGACAUCCUGCCACUGCACUCCAGCCUGGGUAACAGAGCAAGACUCUGUCUCAA
rnacentral:SRP_RNA from 1 species